rnacentral:lncRNA from 1 species
CGCCGGGAGGAUGCGCCGCCGCCCGCAGGCCCGGGGAGGCAGACGCGGGGGACGAUGAGGGAGCUGCCCCGGUGGCUCCUGCUCCCGGCCUUCUGCGUCCUGCUCGGCGGCUGGCUCGGACUUCCCAGCUGGUAUGUCUUUUGUAAAGAGAGUCCUGCUUCUUUGUAUGCACCAAAUGAGAAGUCUCCCUUGGCAAACAUGGAUGAAAAUAUCCAGGAAAAGACAGAUAAGGCUACCCAAGGAGGCUUAGAAAAGAGGAAGCAAUCCUCAAAGCACUCUGGUCCCGAGUCUUUUAGAGCUCUGAAGGUCAGUACGAGCACCUUUAAUCCAUUCUGAAAGCAGCUGGCAGCAAGCGUAGUUCUCGGUGCCGGCACAGUGUGUCUAGCAACUGUUCGUGAUUGUGCAUCUACAUUUGGACCAGUUGGGAUUCCGGAGCAGUUUUCAAGGGCAGCCCAAUGUAGAAUACCAUUUUGAUUAGGGAAUAAGGAGACAUCGCUCUUUAGAAAUUAAUGAUGGUUACUUUAUGUCAGGUUUAUAUCAAUUGGGGUUGGCAUAGAAACUCACUGGGCUUUUUAGGACCCGCUUGCCCUGAGCCAUAU